AUGGCAGAGUUGGGAUUGAACCCAUGUUUGCCUGACCCAGAGUCCCUGAGCCCCAAAGUGCAUCUGAAUCUUAGCCGUCUUACUAGGAAGGGUGCAACUGGAGGGCAGAGGCCGCUUCUCACCCAUCUUGGUACCUCCAGCUCGUACACAGUGCCAGGCAUACAGCAGGUGCUCACUGAGGAUUCCCUAGUGAAUAAAUGGCCUUGGCCUUCUGCACACGUAUGUGUGGUCUUAGAAAGAGCUUCUCCAUUUCCAUUUGCUUUCUCCUGGUGGCUCUUUCAGGAGGGGUUCGAGGCACCUGGACACAGGGGCUGGACAGGAUGGUGCAAGUGCUGGCGGUCAGGAAUCAGACGGACCAGCUCCCAAGCCUGGUUGGGUCACCCUUCCUGGGUGGCCGAUGAGGAGUCCAGCCGUUGGAAAAGGACGCAGGGACAAGGCGAUGGAGGGGCCUAAGCGGGCCUCGUCCUGGCCGCCUCCCCACACCCUGCCUGCGCCGGCCUCGCCGGCUCCUCUCAGAACCGCUUCUGCGCCAUCUGUUCAGCCGAGCGGGUGCCUCUGCCUGCAACACCCUUUCUUCUCUCUCGCCAAGUUACUUCUCAUCCUGCAGGUCUCCACUCAAACGCUACUGCUUAGGACAGCCCUCCGGGACCCCGAGGCCCAGGUCAGGGCCUCGAAGCACCAUUUCCUUCGUGGUGCGUCACGUGACCGCAAUGUGCUCUAGCUUCAUGAUGCCCUGGUAGGAUGUGAGCAGCAUGAGAGCACAGACAGCCUCUGUCUCGUCUCCACCCGGGCCUGGCACAGUGCCUGGUGCACAGUAGGUGCCCAAUAGCUGGGCAAUGAAGGAAUGAGGGGCGAGCAAAGCUCUGUGACCUUGGGGAGCUCUACUGCCUUCCUUGGGGCCCCCACUUCCUCGUCCAGAAAACAGGACAGCCGAGGCUUCUGGAGCUUUUAAACGUCAUCCCUCUUCUUAAGCAAAUAUUUCUUCUUGGGGGCCUCCCUGGGGCCCCUCAGCUUAGUCAGGCUGGGUUUUGCCCAGCAAACUCUAAAUCAAACCCUUGUUGGAAAAAAAUGUAAAAUUUACUCCCACAGUCAGCAUUGAAAAUAAAACACCUCCCCCUUUGCUACUCGUCUCUCUCCCUACUUAAACCCGCUACUUCCUGCACCCCAGUUCCAGUCCUGCCCAAAUCCCGCCAACUCCCUGGGGGUAGAGCCAAGAGACCCACCCCCGUCCCCGCUGGAGACUCCAAGU
rnacentral:lncRNA from 1 species